rnacentral:tRNA from 1 species
GUAGGUAUAGUUUCAACUAAAACAUUAGAUUGUGAUUCUAAAAACAAAGGUUAAAACCCUUUUACCCACC